GCCCGAGUGGUGGAAUGGCAGACACGUCGCACUCAAAAUGCGAUGCUCUCUGGGCAUGCCGGUUCAAGUCCGGCCUCGGGUA
rnacentral:tRNA from 1 species